AUGGAUGCUGAUAUGAUAUGAUGUCAUAGGCAAGCGCAGCAAUGGAGGUGGGAGGUGUUAUGGGUCAUUUACUUUGCAGAUAAUUCUCAAAUCCCACAGUUUCACCAUCCACCUCCCCAGCAAGUAGAAACCCUUAAUGACUCUGUUUCCCUCUUUUCCUCUGCCUCAUCACACCAUGUUAUUUAGAGGAAGGAGCAGUGGAGAAACCAAUGGGAGACAUAAGAAAAUGGCAGAUACCUGAUAAACCCAGCUGGAGCUGGGAAUGGAGGGAAAUAACUACCAUGCUGUGCUACAUCAUAUCUUGGGUGCUGGAAUCACUUAUCCAUAUUGCUGUGCUAAUAAGGCAAGGCAUGUCCCUCAGGGCAGGACUCUGCCUCCUGGGAGUGCUCACCUGACCCGUUCAUCUGGCUUCCAAGUUAGAAGACCAAGAAUGAGCAAGACUGAGACCAGGUUCCCAUGUGAAUCUUAGCGUGCUCUUGUUAGGCCUGCCUGAGCAACAAACUUGGGCUGUAGACAUUCCUUCUUAGAAGGUUGUAUGUCCCAAAUCCUACAGCAAGCACAUGUAAGAUCAGACAUAAUGGGUUUCUAAGUACACGCAGGAGGGCUGAUUUGAAAGGUGACAUGGGAGCUAUCCACAUUAACCUGAGUCCAUCAGUCGUUAGACUGUGUCUCAGGGUUCUUGGUGACAUUGUACCUUCCAGGCCUCUCUAAAUAGAAUCCUGUGAUCCAAGGAAUGCAAUCCUGGUAAACCCCUAAAGGGUAGAAAGAAGUAUGAAAUUCCUAUAACCUUCCCAUGGGAAAUGAGAGGCCUCGGAACUCCUCAAGCCUUUAGUUGCACUUCCCCCUGCUUACAAAGAGAACAUAAUUUGCUCUUGACCCAGGGAGGAGGUUGAACUAGAUUGUACAUGUGUUCUAGAACCGGGGAGCUGCAGGGCAGCAACUGAGUGCAGACCUGUCUGGCUAAAAUAGAGUCACAGACACAAUCACAUAUCCUAUGAAGUGAGCAUUAUCCUGCUCACAGUCAAGAAAAACUAUGUACAUCCAGGUAUAGUUGCCCCAAAGAUCCUGACUGGCCACUCAGCCAAUAUUUGAUCUUGGUCAUUCUUGCUUGCAAUAUGUGUUAUUCACUACUGUUCUCAUGAUCUGACCAACUGUUAUGUUUACAUAACAUGCAUGUGCUCAUGCACUUUCUUCCAGAGCCGAUGUAUGUAUCCCUGUACAAGCGUAGCACUCCUAUUACAUUGCCCAUUGCUCAGCACGUCAUAAUGGUUACAUUUUAAAAGAUAGGCUAACGGCGGUAUUUUUUAGAAAGGUGUUUUAAAGGUGCCUAAACAUCACUUUGAAAAUUAUGGGAAAAAAUCCAGUUACCCCAGUGAUGAAGACUCAGCAACUUUCUCACUUGGUCUUUACAUGGAGGAAACACAAGUUUGGCUUUAUGUCUAUAAAAGCAAUGUUAAAAGUAUUUUAAGCAUAAAAACAAGAGUCGGCUAGUUUACAGACCUACCUACGAGGGCAUGGAAAUGACCAUGGCCUGGAUUUCAGGGACUAAUGGAAACUAGGCCUAGAAUACUUCAGAUGUUUUGUAAGAAAGAAUCUCAAUAAAGUACACAUUUGAAAUAGAUGUUGCUGAUAAGUGGUCCAUCAUUUUCGUGAAAAACCCAGGGACUGUGGAGAGAGCUGGUAAGGCGAUCUCAGUCUUUCUGGUGAGAGUUGUUAGUUAGCAUGUGCUGCCCAUGAAAAGCCAUCUCUGUGCUUUCGGAAGACAUCUAACACACACAUGUCUAGACUGAUUAUGUGAUAGAACACACCUUAUUCUAUCCUCUGUUGCCAUAACAGAAUACCUGAGGUGAGGUAGAUUUAUAAAGGAAACAGGUUUGUCUAUAGUACUGAAAGUUCAAAACUGGUCAGUCGUAUCUGGCAAGGCACUUGUGCUACUUCAACUUGAGGCAGAAGAAGACAGCAGAGACCAAGCAUGUGGGCAGGCUUGCCUUAGAACGAACUAGAACCACCAUCUAUGAGGAGUCUGCCCCUGUCACCUAGACAUCUCCUCCAACUGCCACACUGAGGAAUCAAGGAUCCAACAUGUGCACGUUAGGGGAGGGGGAGAGGGAGGGAUGGUGCACUCAACUUGCAGCAGAACCAUACCAUUUAAGCCUGAUUGGGUGGUCACCAAAGAAGUCAGAUUCCAAGCAAUAGAACAGCCCUGGAGGCCUGUUCAUGAGAGGAUGGUUCGGGACUGCACUUGAUCUUACCCAAAAGAAAAUGCUUGUGUUUGUACUUGACC
rnacentral:lncRNA from 1 species